AUUAGAUCUGUGCAGCAAAGAGCUUCUCUGUGUUUUCAUUCUCUAUCAGAGGAAGGACACUGAUCAUCUGCUGUCUGUUUGACUUCAACUACUCCAAAGACAUGUGUCUCUACCUCUUUUUACUUGGCUCUCAUUUCAUAGGUAAGUGUUAGAACAGACAGCAAACUCCAACCUCACCUGCUGCUUUCAGCAGAUAUUUGGUCAACAUUUCACAAGCAGAGCUUGAUCUGAGUAAGCUAACAUUUUCAGGGACUGAUAGACAUUUGCUGUUUGAAGAAUCUCUCAAUGAUCCAGGAUAACAGAUGAAGUAAAGGACUGUUUUUCAGUCUCUUGGUGUCAGAGUCUCUUCUAACUAACAUGAAUUAUACUCCUUUUUCAGCCCUGGCCUCCAUGAACACCAUAAAACCAGUCAGCCCUGAAGAAACUGUUAAAGAGGGCACAAACAUCAACCUGACCUGUACUUAUGAUGGUGUUAUCUACAAUAUCCAAUGGUACAGACAAUACCAGAGAUCCAGACCAG